CUCCCGCGCGCGCCGAGGCUGCGGGCCGUGCGGAUUCCGGUGUUUUCCGCCCGGUUUCCGGAGAUUUUCGAGCGAGAAACCGAGUUUCCCGAGUGGAAGCCGCUGCGGGCCGACCGGAUCCGUGGGUUUGGUGAGUUGAUUUUGUGUUUAGAUGAUUGUUCUUGUGGAUCCAAGUAGUUAAUGACCUGUAGUGUUUAUUUGAUAUGUACUCAGUUCAUAUUUGUUCAUAGUUUAUGAGAUAUAUUAUUUUUCCCAUGUAUUUGGUAUGAGUGCAAACAUGCAUAGGUAAAUCUCAUGUGCCGAAUGCUUCUGACAAUACCAACUGUGAGCAUUGAAUUGUUUUGCACCGUUGCAGGUAAAUGGUUGACCCUGUUUGGGAGCAUGGAGAAAAAAGGGGAUCGGGUUUCAAGUGCAAGUAUUGUGGCACAUCAAAGAGCGGAGGAGGGGCAACACGGUUCAAGGACCACUUGGCACAUAGAGGUCAUGAUGUUAUUGAUUGCCCUUCGGUUCCCCCCGCGGUGAAGAACUUUUUCAUUAGCGAGUUGGACAAGAUAAAGGCGAAGAAGUAUGAAAGACAGCAAGAUAGACGUAGGAGAGAUGCUGCAGCUCGAAGUACUCAAUAUGUUGACUUGGAAGGUGAGGAAGAAGAAGAAGAGCAGGAUGAUGAGUUGCAGCAAGCUUUGAGACAUUCACGGGAAGAGUAUGAGUUUAGGCAAAGGGCUGGUCCAAGGUAUGAGAGGGGUGGUGGUUCUGGAUCAGGCUAGGCACGGGAUCCAGGUGGUGGCUCUAGACCAAUUGGGAGGAUGUUUUCUAGGAGUCGGUCACAUAUCCCCGAGCGGGCAAGGGACUAUAACCUUGCUACUGCUUCCGGACCGAGGCAGCAGAGGAUUGAUACGGGGCCUUGGACGUCUAAGGGGAGGACUGCGAGAGAGUUGCUGGGUAGGGCGUGGUCAAAGGCUUGCCACUCCGUUGGUAUUCCUGGACGGAAGGUAGAUGACCCUUACUUUAGGGCGGCCAUCAUAGAGACACAGAAACAAGUUCCACCUACAGCUACCCGUCGGCACCCUCCUUUGUGUGGCCACCACAACCACAUCCGAUGGCAGUCCCUCCGCGUCCUCUAUAUGGAUAUCCCCAUAUGUACUAUCAAGGAUACCUCCCAUAUGGAAAUCCUCACAUGUACUAUCAGGAAUAUCCCCCAGAGCAAGAUUCCUCCGAAUGAGUACCUAAGUAUGUAGGAUUCGACGUUACAAUGGGAGUCAUCAACAAUUUCCGGUCGGUCGUAAGGUUUUCCUAUGGGAAAACACCGAAAUAAAAAUUUUAGAGUAUAUUUUGUGUUAACUAUUUGAGACUUGUAUUAUUUGAACCUAUAUUUUAUUUGAACCUAUAAAUUGUGUUAACAAGUUGAACCUAUAUUUUAUUGCA